GGUUAAGCGACUAAGCGUACACGGUGGAUGCCCUGGCAGUCAGAGGCGAUGAAGGACGUGCUAAUCUGCGAAAAGCGCCGGCGAGGUGAUAUGAACCUUUGACCCGGCGAUGUCCGAAUGGGGAAACCCAGUGUGUUCCGACACACUAUCGUUAACUGAAUACAUAGGUUAACGAGGCGAACCGGGGGAACUGAAACAUCUAAGUACCCCGAGGAAAAGAAAUCAACCGAGAUUCCCCCAGUAGCGGCGAGCGAACGGGGAGCAGCCCAGAGUCUGAAUCAGCUUGUGUGUUAGUGGAAGCGUCUGGAAAGUCGCACGGUACAGGGUGACAGUCCCGUACACGAAAGCACACAGGUUGUGAACUCGAAGAGUAGGGCGGGACACGUGGUAUCCUGUCUGAAUAUGGGGGGACCAUCCUCCAAGGCUAAAUACUCCUGACUGACCGAUAGUGAACCAGUACCGUGAGGGAAAGGCGAAAAGAACCCCGGCGAGGGGAGUGAAAAAGAACCUGAAACCGUGUACGUACAAGCAGUGGGAGCCUCUUUUAUGGGGUGACUGCGUACCUUUUGUAUAAUGGGUCAGCGACUUAUAUUCUGUAGCAAGGUUAACCGUAUAGGGGAGCCGAAGGGAAACCGAGUCUUAACUGGGCGUUAAGUUGCAGGGUAUAGACCCGAAACCCGGUGAUCUAGCCAUGGGCAGGUUGAAGGUUGGGUAACACUAACUGGAGGACCGAACCGACUAAUGUUGAAAAAUUAGCGGAUGACUUGUGGCUGGGGGUGAAAGGCCAAUCAAACCGGGAGAUAGCUGGUUCUCCCCGAAAGCUAUUUAGGUAGCGCCUCGUGAACUCAUCUUCGGGGGUAGAGCACUGUUUCGGCUAGGGGGCCAUCCCGGCUUACCAACCCGAUGCAAACUACGAAUACCGAAGAAUGUUAUCACGGGAGACACACGGCGGGUGCUAACGUCCGUCGUGAAGAGGGAAACAACCCAGACCGCCAGCUAAGGUCCCAAAGUCAUGGUUAAGUGGGAAACGAUGUGGGAAGGCACAGACAGCCAGGAUGUUGGCUUAGAAGCAGCCAUCAUUUAAAGAAAGCGUAAUAGCUCACUGGUCGAGUCGGCCUGCGCGGAAGAUGUAACGGGGCUAAACCAUGCACCGAAGCUGCGGCAGCGACGCUUAUGCGUUGUUGGGUAGGGGAGCGUUCUGUAAGCCGUUGAAGGUGUCCUGUGAGGGGUGCUGGAGGUAUCAGAAGUGCGAAUGCUGACAUAAGUAACGAUAAAGCGGGUGAAAAGCCCGCUCGCCGGAAGACCAAGGGUUCCUGUCCAACGUUAAUCGGGGCAGGGUGAGUCGACCCCUAAGGCGAGGCCGAAAGGCGUAGUCGAUGGGAAACAGGUUAAUAUUCCUGUACUUGGUGUUACUGCGAAGGGGGGACGGAGAAGGCUAUGUUAGCCGGGCGACGGUUGUCCCGGUUUAAGCAUGUAGGCGGAGGUUCCAGGUAAAUCCGGUUCCUUGUUAACGCUGAGGUGUGAUGACGAGGCACUACGGUGCUGAAGUAACAAAUGCCCUGCUUCCAGGAAAAGCCUCUAAGCAUCAGGUAACAUCAAAUCGUACCCCAAACCGACACAGGUGGUCAGGUAGAGAAUACCAAGGCGCUUGAGAGAACUCGGGUGAAGGAACUAGGCAAAAUGGUGCCGUAACUUCGGGAGAAGGCACGCUGAUAUGUAGGUGAAGCCCCUGCGGGUGGAGCUGAAAUCAGUCGAAGAUACCAGCUGGCUGCAACUGUUUAUUAAAAACACAGCACUGUGCAAACACGAAAGUGGACGUAUACGGUGUGACGCCUGCCCGGUGCCGGAAGGUUAAUUGAUGGGGUUAGCGGUAACGCGAAGCUCUUGAUCGAAGCCCCGGUAAACGGCGGCCGUAACUAUAACGGUCCUAAGGUAGCGAAAUUCCUUGUCGGGUAAGUUCCGACCUGCACGAAUGGCGUAAUGAUGGCCAGGCUGUCUCCACCCGAGACUCAGUGAAAUUGAACUCGCUGUGAAGAUGCAGUGUACCCGCGGCAAGACGGAAAGACCCCGUGAACCUUUACUAUAGCUUGACACUGAACACUGGUCCUUGAUGUGUAGGAUAGGUGGGAGGCUUUGAAGCGUGGACGCCAGUCUGCGUGGAGCCAACCUUGAAAUACCACCCUUUAAUGGCUGGUGUUCUAACGUAGACCCGUAAUCCGGGUUGCGGACAGUGUCUGGUGGGUAGUUUGACUGGGGCGGUCUCCUCCCAAAGAGUAACGGAGGAGCACGAAGGUUAGCUAAUCCUGGUCGGACAUCAGGAGGUUAGUGCAAUGGCAUAAGCUAGCUUGACUGCGAGAGUGACGGCUCGAGCAGGUGCGAAAGCAGGUCAUAGUGAUCCGGUGGUUCUGAAUGGAAGGGCCAUCGCUCAACGGAUAAAAGGUACUCCGGGGAUAACAGGCUGAUACCGCCCAAGAGUUCAUAUCGACGGCGGUGUUUGGCACCUCGAUGUCGGCUCAUCACAUCCUGGGGCUGAAGUAGGUCCCAAGGGUAUGGCUGUUCGCCAUUUAAAGUGGUACGCGAGCUGGGUUUAGAACGUCGUGAGACAGUUCGGUCCCUAUCUGCCGUGGGCGCUGGAGAAUUGAGGGGGGCUGCUCCUAGUACGAGAGGACCGGAGUGGACGCAUCACUGGUGUUCGGGUUGUCAUGCCAAUGGCACUGCCCGGUAGCUAAAUGCGGAAGAGAUAAGUGCUGAAAGCAUCUAAGCACGAAACUUGCCCCGAGAUGAGUUCUCCCUGAGACUUUAAGUCUCCUGAAGGAACGUUGAAGACUACGACGUUGAUAGGUCGGGUGUGUAAGCGCAGCGAUGCGUUGAGCUAACCGAUACUAAUGAACCGUGAGGCUUAACCUU
rnacentral:rRNA from 1 species